UACAGAGGUCUCAAGCGUUGUUCGGAUUCAUUGGGCGUAAAGGGUGCGUAGGUGGCGUCGUAAGUCGGGUGUGAAAUUUCGGAGCUUAACUCCGAAACUGCAUUCGAUACUGCGGUGCUUGAGGACUGGAGAGGAGACUGGAAUUUACGGUGUAGCAGUGAAAUGCGUAGAGAUCGUAAGGAAGACCAGUGGCGAAGGCGGGUCUCGUGGACAGUUCCUGACACUGAGGCACGAAGGCCAGGGGAGCAAACGGGG
rnacentral:rRNA from 1 species